GUUAUAUGGUCAAGUGAAUAAGCGCACACGGUGGAUGCCUAGGCGGUAGGAGGCGAUGAAGGACGUGGUAGCCUGCGAUAAGCCUCGGGGAGUCGGCAAAUAGACUUUGAUCCGAGGAUUUCCGAAUGGGGAAACCCACCCGCAAGGGUAUCGGCAGCUGAAUACAUAGGCUGUCGAGGCGAACCCGGGGAACUGAAACAUCUAAGUACCCGGAGGAAAAGAAAUCAACCGAGAUUCCCUCAGUAGUGGCGAGCGAACGGGGAGCAGCCCUUAAGUCAUUAAGGUUUUAGCAGAACGGUCUGGAAAGUCCGGCGAUACAGGGUGAUAGCCCCGUAUGCGAAAAGGCCUUAGUGGUGAAAUCGAGUAGGGCGGGACACGUGAAAUCCUGUCUGAACAUGGGGGGACCAUCCUCCAAGGCUAAAUACUACCUACCGACCGAUAGUGAACCAGUACCGUGAGGGAAAGGCGAAAAGAACCCCGGAGAGGGGAGUGAAAUAGAACCUGAAACCGUGUGCGUACAAGCAGUCGGAGCCCGAAAGGGUGACGGCGUACCUUUUGUAUAAUGGGUCAGCGAGUUACUUUCAGUGGCAAGCUUAACCGCUUAGGGAAGGCGUAGGGAAACCGAGUCUUAAUAGGGCGUUUAGUCGCUGGGAGUAGACCCGAAACCGGGCGAUCUAUCCAUGGCCAGGGUGAAGGCGCCGUAACAGGCGCUGGAGGCCCGAACCCACUCCCGUUGCAAUGGUAGGGGAUGAGCUGUGGAUAGGAGUGAAAGGCUAAUCAAGCCCGGAGAUAGCUGGUUCUCCUCGAAAGCUAUUUAGGUAGCGCCUCGUGUAUCACUGUCGGGGGUAGAGCACUGUUUCGGCUAGGGGGUCAUACCGACUUACCAAACCGAUGCAAACUUCGAAUACCGGCAAGUGCAAGCACGGGAGACACACGGCGAGUGCUAACAUCCGUCGUGAAGAGGGAAACAACCCAGACCGCCAGCUAAGGCCCCCAAGUCAUGGCUAAGUGGAAAACGAUGUGGGAAGGCAUAGACAGCCAGGAGGUUGGCUUAGAAGCAGCCAUCCUUUAAAGAAAGCGUAAUAGCUCACUGGUCGAGUCGGCCCGCGCGGAAAAUUCAACGGGGCUAAGCCAUGCGCCGAAGCUGCGGACUUGGCAUUGCCAAGUGGUAGAGGAGCGUUCCGUAAGCCUGUGAAGGUGUGUCGCGAGGCAUGCUGGAGGUAUCGGAAGUGCGAAUGCUGACAUGAGUAACGAUAAUGCGGGUGAAAAACCCGCACGCCGUAAACCCAAGGUUUCCUGCGCAACGUUAAUCGGCGCAGGGUGAGUCGGACCCUAAGGCGAGGCCGAAAGGCGUAGUUGAUGGGAAACAGGUUAAUAUUCCUGUACCGAUGAUUGCUGCGAUGGGGUGACGGAGAAGGCUAGGCCGGCCGGGUGUUGGAUGUCCCGGUUUAAGCAAGUAGGAAGAUCCCUUAGGCAAAUCCGGGGGGUCAAUUCCGAGAUGUGAUGACGAGUCCCUUAGGGGGCGAAGUGGUUGAUGCCAUGCUUCCAGGAAAAGCCUCUAAGCUUCAGGCAAUCAUCGCCCGUACCGCAAACCGACACAGGUGGGUGAGGAGAGAAUCCUAAGGCGCUUGAGAGAACUCGGUUGAAGGAACUAGGCAAAAUAGUACCGUAACUUCGGGAGAAGGUACGCCCCUUGUACGUGAAGAGCCUUGCGCUUGGAGCGGAAAGGGGUUGCAGUGACCAGGCCGCUGCGACUGUUUAUCAAAAACACAGCACUCUGCAAACACGAAAGUGGACGUAUAGGGUGUGACGCCUGCCCGGUGCCGGAAGGUUAAUUGAUGGGGUCAGCGAAAGCGAAGCUCUUGAUCGAAGCCCCGGUAAACGGCGGCCGUAACUAUAACGGUCCUAAGGUAGCGAAAUUCCUUGUCGGGUAAGUUCCGACCUGCACGAAUGGCGUAACGAUGGCGGCGCUGUCUCCAACCGAGACUCAGUGAAGUUGAAAUCGCUGUGAAGAUGCAGCGUACCCGCGGCAAGACGGAAAGACCCCGUGAACCUUUACUAUAGCUUUGCACUGAAUUUUGAACCUGCUUGUGUAGGAUAGGUGGGAGGCUUUGAAGCGCAGACGCCAGUUUGCGUGGAGCCAACCUUGAAAUACCACCCUGGCAUGUUUGGAGUUCUAACCUAGGCCCGUUAUCCGGGCUGGAGACAGUGCAUGGUGGGUAGUUUGACUGGGGCGGUCUCCUCCCAAAGAGUAACGGAGGAGCGCGAAGGUACCCUCAGCGCGGUCGGAAAUCGCGCAAUGAGUGCAAAGGCAUAAGGGUGCUUGACUGCAAGACGGACAGGUCGAGCAGGUGCGAAAGCAGGUCUUAGUGAUCCGGUGGUUCUGUAUGGAAGGGCCAUCGCUCAACGGAUAAAAGGUACUCCGGGGAUAACAGGCUGAUUCCUCCCAAGAGUCCACAUCGACGGAGGAGUUUGGCACCUCGAUGUCGGCUCAUCGCAUCCUGGGGCUGUAGCAGGUCCCAAGGGUAUGGCUGUUCGCCAUUUAAAGCGGUACGCGAGCUGGGUUCAGAACGUCGUGAGACAGUUCGGUCCCUAUCUGCCGUGGGCGUUGGAAACUUGAAGGGAGCUGCUCCUAGUACGAGAGGACCGGAGUGGACGUACCCCUGGUGUUCCGGUUGUCACGCCAGUGGCACUGCCGGGUAGCUAUGUACGGACGGGAUAACCGCUGAAAGCAUCUAAGCGGGAAGCCCACCCUAAGAUAAGGUUUCCCUGGGCCUUUAAGGUCCCUGAAGGGUCGUCGGAGACUACGACGUUGAUAGGCCGGGUGUGGAAGCGCAGUAAUGUGUGAAGCUAACCGGUACUAAUUACCCGUGAGGCUUGACCAUAUAACACCCAAGCGGU
rnacentral:rRNA from 1 species